AGAGUUUGAUCAUGGCUCAGGAUGAACGUUGGCGGUGUGCCUAAUACAUGCAAGUCGAACGGAGUUAAUAGCAAUAUUGACUUAGUGGCGAACGGGUGAGUAACGCGUUGGUGAUCUGCCUCGAAGUGUGGAAUAACGUUCCGAAAGGAACGCUAAUACCGCAUGUGCUCUCGAUUUUUAGAAACUUGAGAGUAAAGGAUUUAUUCGCUUCGAGAGGAGCCUGCGUCCCAUCAGCCGGUUGGUAGGGUAACGGCCUACCAAGGCUAUGACGGGUAGGGGACCUGAGAGGGUGGCCCCCCACAAUGGAACUGAAACACGGUCCAUACACCUACGGGUGGCAGCAGUAGGGAAUAUUAGAAAUGGACGAAAGUCUGAUCUAGCAACACCGCGUGUGCGAAGAAGGCCUUCGGGUCGUAAAGCACUUUUUGGAAGGAAUAGGAAGGAAUGUACUUCCAGAAUAAGUCUCGGCUAACUACGUGCCAGCAGCCGCGGUAACACGUAGGAGGCAAACGUUAUCCGGAUUUACUGGGCGUAAAGCGCGUGUAGGUGGUACUGUAAGUAGGGCGUGAAAGCUCCCGGCUCAACUGGGAGAGGCCGUUCUAAACUGCAGAACUAGAGGAUGGUAGAGGGAGGUGGAAUUCCAGGUGUAGCGGUGGAAUGCGCAGAUAUCUGGAGGAACACCAGUGGCGAAGGCGGCCUCCUGGACCAUUCCUGACACUCAGACGCGAAAGCUAGGGUAGCAAACGGGAUUAGAGACCCCGGUAGUCCUAGCCCUAAACGAUGUAGACUAGGCGUCGGUGGUUUAAUCACCAUCGGUGUCCAAGCUAACGCGAUAAGUCUACCGCCUGGGGACUACGGCCGCAAGGUUAAAACUCAAAUGAAUUGACGG
rnacentral:rRNA from 1 species